UGCAGUCGAGCGGGGUGAUGGUGCUUGCACUAUCACUUAGCGGCGGACGGGUGAGUAAUGCUUAGGAAUCUGCCUAUUAGUGGGGGACAACAUCUCGAAAGGGAUGCUAAUACCGCAUACGUCCUACGGGAGAAAGCAGGGGAUCACUUGUGACCUUGCGCUAAUAGAUGAGCCUAAGUCGGAUUAGCUAGUUGGUGGGGUAAAGGCCUACCAAGGCGACGAUCUGUAGCGGGUCUGAGAGGAUGAUCCGCCACACUGGGACUGAGACACGGCCCAGACUCCUACGGGAGGCAGCAGUGGGGAAUAUUGGACAAUGGGGGGAACCCUGAUCCAGCCAUGCCGCGUGUGUGAAGAAGGCCUUAUGGUUGUAAAGCACUUUAAGCGAGGAGGAGGCUCUUUUGGUUAAUACCCAAGAUGAGUGGACGUUACUCGCAGAAUAAGCACCGGCUAACUCUGUGCCAGCAGCCGCGGUAAUACAGAGGGUGCAAGCGUUAAUCGGAUUUACUGGGCGUAAAGCGCGCGUAGGCGGCCAAUUAAGUCAAAUGUGAAAUCCCCGAGCUUAACUUGGGAAUUGCAUUCGAUACUGGUUGGCUAGAGUGUGGGAGAGGAUGGUAGAAUUCCAGGUGUAGCGGUGAAAUGCGUAGAGAUCUGGAGGAAUACCGAUGGCGAAGGCAGCCAUCUGGCCUAACACUGACGCUGAGGUGCGAAAGCAUGGGGAGCAGACAGGAUUAGAUACCCUGGUAGUCCAUGCCGUAAACGAUGUCUACUAGCCGUUGGGGCCUUUGAGGCUUUAGUGGCGCAGCUAACGCGAUAAGUAGACCGCCUGGGGAGUACGGUCGCAAGACUAAAACUCACAUGAAUUGACGGGGGCCCGCACAAGCGGUGGAGCAUGUGGUUUAAUUCGAUGCAACGCGAAGAACCUUACCUGGCCUUGACAUAGUAGAAACUUUCCAGAGAUGGAUUGGUGCCUUCGGGAAUCUACAUACAGGUGCUGCAUGGCUGUCGUCAGCUCGUGUCGUGAGAUGUUGGGUUAAGUCCCGCAACGAGCGCAACCCUUUUCCUUACUUGCCAGCAUUUCGGAUGGGAACUUUAAGGAUACUGCCAGUGACAACUGGAGGAAGGCGGGGACGACGUCAGUCAUCAUGGCCCUUACGGCAGGCUA
rnacentral:rRNA from 1 species